rnacentral:rRNA from 1 species
AAAGGAAUUGACGGGGGCCCGCACAAGCAGCGGAGCAUGUGGUUUAAUUCGAAGCAACGCGAAGAACCUUACCUAGACUUGACAUCUCCUGAAUUACUCUGUAAUGGAGGAAGCCACUUCGGUGGCAGGAAGACAGGUGGUGCAUGGUUGUCGUCAGCUCGUGUCGUGAGAUGUUGGGUUAAGUCCCGCAACGAGCGCAACCCUUAUUGUUAGUUGCUACCAUUUAGUUGAGCACUCUAGCGAGACUGCCCGGGUUAACCGGGAGGAAGGUGGGGAUGACGUCAAAUCAUCAUGCCCCUUAUGUCUAGGGCUACACACGUGCUACAAUGGCUGGUACAAUGAGAAGCAAACUCGCGAGAGUGAGCAAAACUAUAAAACCAGUCUCAGUUCGGAUUGUAGGCUGAAACUCGCCUACAUGAAGCUGGAGUUGCUAGUAAUCGCGAAUCAGAAUGUCGCGGUGAAUACGUUCCCGGGCCUUGUACACACCGCCCGU